rnacentral:rRNA from 1 species
AGAGUUUGAUCAUGGCUCAGAAUCAACGCUGGCGGCGUGCCUCAGACAUGCAAGUCGAACGCGAAAGUCCCUUUCGGGGGACAAGUAGAGUGGCGUCCGGGUGAGUAACACGUAGGUAAUCUACCUUCGGGUGGGGAAUAACGCAGGGAAACUUGCGCUAAUACCGCAUAAUGCAGCGGCACCACAUGGUGACAGUUGUUAAAGCGGGGGAUUUUCGAACCUCGCGCCUGAAGAGGAGCCUGCGGCAGAUUAGCUAGUUGGUAAGGUAACGGCUUACCAAGGCGACGAUCUGUAGCCGGCCUGAGAGGGCGGUCGGCCACACUGACACUGACAUACGGGUCAGACUCCUACGGGAGGCAGCAGUCGGGAAUUUUGGGCAAUGGGCGAAAGCCUGACCCAGCAACGCCGCGUGAAGGAUGAAAUCCUUCGGGAUGUAAACUUCGCAAGAAUGGGAAGAAUGAACGAGCGCUAAUACCGUUCGUGAUGACGGUACCAUUUGUAAGCUCCGGCUAACUCCGUGCCAGCAGCCGCGGUAAUACGGGGGGAGCAAGCGUUGUUCGGAUUUACUGGGCGUAAAGGGCGCGUAGGCGGCCAGCGCAAGUCAGUUGUGAAAUCUCCGGGCUUAACUCGGAACGGUCAACUGAUACUGCGCGGCUAGAGUGCAGAAGGGGCAACUGGAAUUCUCGGUGUAGCGGUGAAAUGCGUAGAUAUCGAGAGGAACACCUGCGGCGAAAGCGGGUUGCUGGGCUGACACUGACGCUGAGUGCGCGAAAGCCAGGGGAGCGAACGGGAUUAGAUACCCCGGUAGUCCUGGCCUUAAACGAUGGAUGCUUGGUGUCUGGAGUUUUAUAGUCUCCGGGUGCCGCAGCUAACGCGUUAAGCAUCCCGCCUGGGGGAGUACGGUCGCAAGACUGAAACUCAAAAGGAGUUGACGGGGACCCGCACAAGCGGUGGAGCAUGGUGGUUCAAU